GAUGAAGAACGUAGCGAAAUGCGAUAAGUAAUGCGAAUUGCAGAAUUCAGUGAAUCAUCGAAUCUUUGAACGCACAUUGCGCCCCCUGGUAUUCCGGGGGGCAUGCCUGUCCGAGCGUCAUUACAACCCUCAAGCUCAGCUUGGUGUUGGGCCCCGCCGCCCCGGCGGGCCCUAAAGUCAGUGGCGGUGCCGUCCGGCUCCGAGCGUAGUAAUUCUUCUCGCUCUGGAGGUCCGGUCGUGUGCUCGCCAGCAACCCCCAAUUUUUUUCAGGUUGACCUCGGAUCGAGUAGGACUACCCGCUGAACUUAAGCAUAUCAAUAAGCGGAGGA
rnacentral:misc_RNA from 1 species